rnacentral:rRNA from 1 species
GUCUGCCUAUGUGUCUUGACCAAAUUACGUGCCAGCAGUCGCGGUAAUACGUAGAAGACUAGUGUUAUUCAUGUUUAAUCGGUUUAAAGGGUACCUAGACGGUAAAUCAAGCUUUCAAAGAAAAAAAUAAAGAGAAUUAAAGGACUAAUUUACUAGAGUUACUUAUGAGGGGGUAUUAAAGUACUGCUGGUGUAGAGAUGAAAUUCUGUCAUACCUCUUUUCAAAAGAAAAAUGAUGGCACAGGUAUAGGCGAAGGCAUCCCCUUAUGUGAUAACUGACGUUGAGGGACGAAGGCUUUGUGUAGCGAACAGGAUUAGAUACCCCAGUAGUCGAAGCAGAAAAUGAUGAAUGUCAUAGAUUAGAUAUAUAAGUUUAUUCUAUAAAUGAAAGUGUAAGCAUUCCACCUCAUGAGUAAUUUGGCAACAUUGGAACUGAAAUCAUUAGACCGUUUCUGAAACCAGUAGUGAAGUAUGUUGUUUAAUUUGAUGAUCCGCAAAAAACCUUACCACAAUUUGAAUAUUUAUAUUUUUUAUUGUUUUCUUAUUAAUUUCUUUUAUGAAUAAAAUUAAUAAAGAGGCAAUAAGAUAUAUUUACAAGCGUUGCACGGCUGUCUUCAGUUAAUGUCGCGAGACUUUGGUUAGUUCCAUUAAAUUAACGUAAACCCUUACUUUAUUUUUAUAUAGAGUAGUUCCCCGCUAUAUUGGAUAUGAUAACAGGGACUAAGACAAGUCAUCAUGGCCUAAAUAUUGUGGGCUAUAGACGUGCCACAUAAGCCUUACAAAAGGGUGUAAAAUUGCG